rnacentral:rRNA from 1 species
UACGUAGGGGGCUAGCGUUGUCCGGAUUUAUUGGGCGUAAAGAGCGUGUAGGCGGCCAGGUAGGUCUGCUGUGAAAACUCGAGGCUCAACCUCGAGACGUCGGUGGAAACCAUCUGGCUAGAGUCCGGAAGAGGAGAGUGGAAUUCCUGGUGUAGCGGUGAAAUGCGCAGAUAUCAGGAAGAACACCCGUGGCGAAGGCGGCUCUCUGGGACGGUACUGACGCUGAGACGCGAAAGCGUGGGGAGCGAACAGG